rnacentral:rRNA from 1 species
AUUGAACGCUGGCGGCAGGCCUAACACAUGCAAGUCGAACGGUAACAGAAAGCAGCUUGCUGCUUUGCUGACGAGUGGCGGACGGGUGAGUAAUGUCUGGGAAACUGCCUGAUGGAGGGGGAUAACUACUGGAAACGGUAGCUAAUACCGCAUAACGUCGCAAGACCAAAGAGGGGGACCUUCGGGCCUCUUGCCAUCGGAUGUGCCCAGAUGGGAUUAGCUAGUAGGUGGGGUAAAGGCUCACCUAGGCGACGAUCCCUAGCUGGUCUGAGAGGAUGACCAGCCGCACUGGAACUGAGACACGGUCCAGACUCCUACGGGAGGCAGCAGUGGGGAAUAUUGCACAAUGGGCGCAAGCCUGAUGCAGCCAUGCCGCGUGUAUGAAGAAGGCCUUCGGGUUGUAAAGUACUUUCAGCGGGGAGGAAGGGAGUAAAGUUAAUACCUUUGCUCAUUGACGUUACCCGCAGAAGAAGCACCGGCUAACUCCGUG